AAGGUGAAGCAUCCGCGGUCGCGGCCCA
rnacentral:sRNA from 1 species